GUUGUGGCUCAGUGGUAGAGCAAUUGCCUCUCAUAUGUGAGGCUCUGUGUUCAAUCCUCAGCACCACA
rnacentral:tRNA from 1 species